UGGGGAAUAUUGGACAAUGGGGGAAACCCUGAUCCAGCGACGCCGCGUGUGUGAAGAAGGCCUGCGGGUUGUAAAGCACUUUCGGUGGGAACGAAAUGUGCCGGGCUAAUAUCCCGGCAAGCUGACGUUACUCAAUGAAGAAGCACCGGCUAACUCUGUGCCAGCAGCCGCGGUAAUACAGAGGGUGCGAGCGUUAAUCGGAAUUACUGGGCGUAAAGCGCACGUAGGUGGCGACGUAAGUCGGGUGUGAAAGCCCCGGGCUCAACCUGGGAACUGCAUUCGAGACUGCAUUGCUGGAGUACGGAAGAGGAGGGCGGAAUUCCCGGUGUAGCGGUGAAAUGCGUAGAUAUCGGGAGAACAUCAGUGGCGAAGGCGGCCCUCUGGUCCAGUACUGACACUCAAGUGCGAAAGCGUGGGGAGCAAACAGGAUUAGAUACCCUAGUAGUCCCUGAGCGGGCUGGCAAGGCGCAU
rnacentral:rRNA from 1 species